rnacentral:pre_miRNA from 1 species
UUAUUAUUAUGAUGAUGAUGAUGAUGAUGAUUAUGAUGAUUAUGAUGAUGAUGAUGAUGAUGAUCAUCAUCAUCAUCAUAGCACUACCG